GACGAACGCUGGCGGCGUGCUUAACACAUGCAAGUCGAACGGAAAGGCCCUGCUUGCAGGGUACUCGAGUGGCGAACGGGUGAGUAACACGUGGGUGAUCUGCCCUGCACUUCGGGAUAAGCCUGGGAAACUGGGUCUAAUACCGGAUAGGAGCCAUUUUUAGUGUGAUGGUUGGAAAGUUUUUUCGGUGUAGGAUGAGCUCGCGGCCUAUCAGCUUGUUGGUGGGGUAAUGGCCUACCAAGGCGGCGACGGGUAGCCGGACUGAGAGGGUGGACGGCCACAUUGGGACUGAGAUACGGCCCAGACUGCUACGGGAGGCAGCAGUGGGGAAGAUUGCACAAUGGGCGCAAGCCUGAUGCAGCGACGCCGCGUGGGGGAUGACGGCCUUCGGGUUGUAAAAUCCUUUCGCGAGGGACGAAGCUUUUUGUGACGGUACCUAGAGAAGAAGCACCGGCUAACUACGUG
rnacentral:rRNA from 1 species